rnacentral:lncRNA from 1 species
AAUUUUUUAUUUAAUAAAUAUUGGUCUGCUGUUUCAAAAUUGGGGAUAGUUAAAAAGUUUUGAAAGAAGCAAAAAAGGCAGAGUGAAGUAUUUGCAGCUAGAGUCUUUUAAUAUCAGCAGCUUGUUUACUGUGGAGUAGUGGGGAGGGGUAGGAGAGACUUUGUGGAAGAUGAUACAAAAAAAAAAAAUCCAUCAAUUGCGCAUAUGAUCCCCUCCCCUUAAGGUUUACUUAAACAAUAUGUUUCGGUUUUGCCUCAAACCAUUCGGCGCCACCUCCACUCCGAGCAUCUAUCACUAGCCUGGUUCCUGAGUGAUUAAGGAUGGUCUUUUCUGUUAUAUAGCGAGCAGCAGUAUUGUUUGAACAAAGGUAACAUAUUUUGAUUUGUGAAAUUCUUUGGUAGUUAUUAGGAAGCUGUCUAUAGUGUAAGAGGAAUUCUAUACUCUAAACCCUGUGGAUGUUUGAUGCAGCCACAGUAACUCUACUGUGCUUGAAUUAUUGCAGCAAUGUGUGCAUGCUCUUGGAGCCAUAUUUUAUGUAUGUAAUUCUUAGAUCCACCUUGAUGGUGGAGUUUAAUGUGCUAAAUCAUGACCUGCUGUGCUUUUAACAGAACUGGAAUCGUUUAAAGAGAUACAUGACUUGUUUUUAAAAAGUUAGAAGUUUGAAGUGAGUGUGGCGAUUAAACAUAAUGAAUCAGUCAUUCCCAUAGUAUUUAGAUGUACUUAGAUUUUACUAAGAGAUUUCAAAAGAAGGAAAAAAAAAACACUCUAUAAAUCAAACUGCCCCCCCUCGUUGUGUAUCUUAAAUAGUGUUCUGAGAACAUUUUUGAAAAAGUCUCAUUUCUGUAGGGAGUGACAGUGUUUUGUUUUGUUUUCUUUUUUGUCUGAAGAUAUCAUUUUAUAAGCUAGCACUUUACAGUUUACAAUUCUAUUGGUUUAAAACGUUAUGCAGAAAUAUCAUGGAACAUGUAAAGACUCUGUACUCUGAGCCCAUGCAUUUUUCCCUAGGGUGAUGGAUUCUGUGCGUCACCCAAAUGUGAUGCUAUUUGCUGGGCUUGUAAUACUGGUUUGGGGUUGCUGGAUGUCCUAGUUCAUCAAGCAACAGAAUACAACAACGUUGGUAACUAGGUAAUUGACACAGUCAAAAUAGGCUCUGGAAAAUGUUCCAAAUAUUUUAAAGUCAGUUCAGAACUUAGCAUAUAUUCCAUUUAUUCAGCACUUAAAUAAACAGAUGAUUCAUUGCCUGCCCUUUAAGUCUGCUAUCGUUGAUAGCAGUGGAACGAAAUUUUAAUGCUUACAGUUCUUGUUUUUAUUUCUCUUUCUUUAGUUUGAAAGGAGCAUGGUUGCCUUACUUAUCCCAAUGAUUCCUUUAUCCAUUACUUACUUAUAAUUGUGAUCAUGAGUAGUAUAAUAGAAGACAUUUAUGUUCCCUGACGUGUAUGCCUCAAUCUUUAGAAGUAAUGAUAUUAUUCUUUUGAAAAUUUGAAUAAUUAUAACAACAUAGGACAACAGAUAACUUAUUUAAGCAUAGAAGCGUCAUAGGUGUAGAAAACAGGGAUGAAAAUAUUUUCGCUCAGAGCUGGUUUUGCUUACAGAGUUUGGACAGACUAUGAAGUUUUACACAUCAGUGAAAGUGCAUAAUAGGACGUGAUCUUUGUAAUUAGGUCCUACUGUAUGGCUUUCUGAGCACUUGUGCGAACUGCAACACCUUUUCUUCCAUGCAUUCAUCUAUGAACUAGAGAUAUGUCUAUAAACAGUGUAAAUAUGUGUCACACAGUUGGUUUGGGGAAUCAGAUUUCUCUAUUACAUGAUAUGGUUUAUGUGCCUAGGGAUACCCUUAAUAUCCUAGGAUUACUACAGCACACUCAUCUCCGACUUGAUGAUUCUAAGUACACACAUGUAUGUGUAUAUGCUUGUGUGCUCUUGUGCUGGAAGUCACUGUAUUUGAUUCUAUCAAACUAAAUGUUUUUUUUUUUAAAUCACAUUAAUCUUUCUCAGGUCUUUUUCAGUUAUUUAAUGCAUCCCAGAGCCUAUUUAAGAGUUAAAUUAGUUAUAACACUGGUUCUCAAUGCAAGCGAGGUUGACUUUAAACAGUGAACAACAUAUUCGACUUUAUGUGAUGUCAUGAUCCACAUGUCAUCUUAGCUCUGGAAGAUUACUGCAUUGGUUUCUCAAUAGUUAGUAGUUCUGAACAGAUAAGUGGUCCUAGGAAAACGGCGGCCACUUGUCUUUGCCUUACUUGUGAUGUUUUUAAUGCUGGCUGAAAGAGAAUCUAGGUCACUGUACUUCUAAAUGAUGUUAUUCAGUUGACAGAAGUUAAGACUGAUCGUAGAUAGUUUAAGUUUAAUCACUGUCCAUACUACUAAAUUUUUACAAUGUGUAUUGUCUUUUUCCCAAUUAUUUUUAUGUAAUUCUGAGACCCUUAUACCUCAUCUGUUUUCUUUAUUUUGAUGAUGUUUUUUUUGUAAUAUAGUUUUAAGUUUUUAAACAAACAGUUAAAAUGAUUAUGUUCACCACUAGAUGCAAAUAUUCUGUAAAGAUUAUUGCAAACACUGCUCCCUAGUUCUGUGGAGAUAGGAAAGUUCUAGAAAAUAACCUGGGUAAAGCCACCUUGUAAGCAUGAAGUAUUCUACACUGUUGAGUAAGUAUUUAAGAACAGUUUUUUUUUUUCCUUUUUACUAAAAUUGAGUUCUUUGCAUGUAAGAUGUGAGGGAAUUAGAGUAGGAAAUCUGCUGCCACCAUGAUCCAGUUCCAGUAAACUGUUUUCCCCCACCCUUUACCCUCUCAGUCUUCAGUCUGUUUUAAAAUGCUCUAUUUCUUACAGAAAUUUACUGUGUUGAAAGAAUGCCAUAAUUAUUUGUAACACAUAUUGCUUUAAAAAAAAAACACUUUGAUACACUAUAAAGCGGGAAGCUGUCACUCAGAACACUAGUCCAAAACGC